UUUUAUCGUUGUUUACAGGAUUAUCUUGCUCGAAAUUCAGCAUUGAAAAAGAGCACUAAGACCUCUUCAGAUUUCAGGACCGUCUACAUCAAAAGAACCUGCGCAUCUACAUAUACACUCACAAGGUUCAAUUGAAGAUGUACAAAUGAAAGAGAAUCUUGAUCCUGUCACUUCAGAAUCUCAGUCUGUACACAGUGAUAGACAGCCUCAUAGUGAAGAAGAAAAUGUUGAGGUGGUGAAAGAUCUUGUGCAUCGCAAAGUUAAAUGUGUUAGUAAGAAGGCGGUAAAACAGGUUGCUGUUACGAAAACUGAGCGUGCUCUGUAUCAGAAAAUGCUGCAAGUUGGUGUGAAACUCAGCAAAUGCCGUAGCAAGGUUAAAAGCAGGCAAUCAAGAUCAAG